rnacentral:rRNA from 1 species
UACGUAGGGCGCAAGCGUUUAUCCGGAAUUAUUGGGCGUAAAAGAGCUCGUAGGCGGCCUUGUCGCGUCCGCUGUGAAAUCCUGGGGGCUUAACCCCCGGGCGUGCAGUGGAUACGGGCUGGCUAGAGGCAGGCAGGGGGAGAACGGAAUUCCCGGUGUAGCGGUGAAAUGCGCAGAUAUCGGGAGGAACACCGGUGGCGAAGGCGGUUCUCUGGGCCUGUUCUGACGCUGAGGAGCGAAAGCGUGGGGAGCGAACAGGAUU